rnacentral:rRNA from 1 species
GAUGAACGCUGGCGGCGUGCCUAAUACAUGCAAGUCGAGCGAACAGACGAGGAGCUUGCUCCUCUGACGUUAGCGGCGGACGGGUGAGUAACACGUGGAUAACCUACCUAUAAGACUGGGAUAACUUCGGGAAACCGGAGCUAAUACCGGAUAAUAUAUUGAACCGCAUGGUUCAAUAGUGAAAGACGGUUUUGCUGUCACUUAUAGAUGGAUCCGCGCCGCAUUAGCUAGUUGGUAAGGUAACGGCUUACCAAGGCAACGAUGCGUAGCCGACCUGAGAGGGUGAUCGGCCACAUUGGAACUGAGACACGGUCCAGACUCCAACGGGAGGCAGCAGUAGGGAAUCUUCCGCAAUGGGCGAAAGCCUGACGGAGCAACGCCGCGUGAGUGAUGAAGGUCUUCGGAUCGUAAAACUCUGUUAUUAGGGAAGAACAAAUGUGUAAGUAACUAUGCACGUCUUGACGGUACCUAAUCAGAAAGCCACGGCUAACUACGUG